AGCGAACGCUGGCGGCAGGCUUAACACAUGCAAGUCGAACGCCCCGCAAGGGGAGUGGCAGACGGGUGAGUAACACGUGGGAACGUACCCUUUGGUUCGGAAUAACUUGGGGAAACUCAAGCUAAUACCGGAUAAGCCCUUAUGGGGAAAGGUUUACUGCCGAAGGAUCGGCCCGCGUCUGAUUAGCUAGUUGGUGAGGUAAUGGCUCACCAAGGCGACGAUCAGUAGCUGGUCUGAGAGGAUGAUCAGCCACACUGGGACUGAGACACGGCCCAGACUCCUACGGGAGGCAGCAGUGGGGAAUAGUGGACAAUGGGGGCAACCCUGAUCCAGCCAUGCCGCGCGAGUGAUGAAGGCCUUCGGGUUGUAAAGCUCUGUCUUCGGGGACGAUAAUGACGGUACCCGAGGAGGAAGCCACGGCUAACUACGUGCCAGCAGCCGCCGUAA
rnacentral:rRNA from 1 species